UACGUAGGGUGCGAGCGUUGUCCGGAAUUACUGGGCGUAAAGAGCUCGUAGGCGGUUUGUCGCGUCGUCCGUGAAAACUUGGGGCUCAACCCCAAGCUUGCGGGCGAUACGGGCAGACUUGAGUACUGCAGGGGAGACUGGAAUUCCUGGUGUAGCGGUGAAAUGCGCAGAUAUCAGGAGGAACACCGGUGGCGAAGGCGGCUCACUGGACCGGAACUGACGCUGAGGCGCGAAAGCGUGGGGAGCAAACGGG
rnacentral:rRNA from 1 species